GGGGGCGCUGUGUCCGUAUAUAUACUGAUAAGGGGGCGCUGUGUCGUUUGUAUAUAUACUGAUAAGGGGGCGCUGUGUCGUUUGUAUACUGAUAGGGGCGCUGUGUCGUUUGUAUAUAUACUGAUAGGGGGCGCUGUGUCGUUCGUAUAUAUACUGAUAGGGGGCGCUGUGUCGAAGUCACCGUACCGCCAUCUUGGCACUCCCUCACCAUUUGUAAAACAUCUAUUUUAAUUUAUUACAGACACCUGUAAGAGUGUAAAGUGACCCGGUGCAGAAAGCCUAGCGGUUAAGCGCGUUGAGCCAAUAACCGAAAGGUUGCUGGUUCGAAUCCUCGACCGGGCAAGGUGUAAAAAAAUAAAUAAAAUCUGCCGUUCUCCCUUUGAACAAGUCAGUUAACCCCCAACAACAACUGCUCCCCGGGUACCGAUGUCGUGGAUUAAGGCAGCCCCCCCCCCACCUCCCUGAUUCAGAGGGGUUGGGUUAAGUGCUGAAGACAGUUCAAUUCAAUGCAUUGUUGUGCAAUGUAUCCCCAACCAACUGACUAGGUAUCCCCAACCAACUGACUAGGUAUCCCCAACCAACUGACGAGGUAUCCCCAAGCAACUGACGAGGUAUCCCCUUUGUGUGACAGAGAGAAGUGUUUGCAGUGCUGCUGGUGGAAACGUCAUUUCGCCUAGUCAUCCUUUUAAAGCAGCCUUCAGGUACGGGUGUUAAUGGUGUCAGGGUAAAUGUAUAAUUUCAUUAAUUACUGGAAUUGAUUUGUACAUCUUACUGUAGAAAUUACCAGGCCUACUGUACAUCUUACUGUAGAAAUGACCAGGCCUACUGUACAUCUUACUGUAGAAAUGAUCAGGCCUACUGAACAUCUUACUGUAGAAAUGAUCAGGCCUACUGUACAUCUUACUGUAGAAAUGAUCAGGCCUACUGUACAUCUUACUGUAGAAAUGAUCAGGCCUACUGUACAUCUUACUGUAGAAAUGAUCAGGCCUACUGUACAUCUUACUGUAGAAAUGACCAGGCCUACUGUACAUCUUACUGUAGAAAUGACCAGGCCUACUGUACAUCUUACUGUAGAAAUGACCAGGCCUACUGUACAUCUUACUGUAGAAAUGAUCAGGCCUACUGUACAUCUUACUGUAGAAAUGACCAGGCCUACUGUACAUCUUACUGUAGAAAUGAUCAGGCCUACUGUACAUCUUACUGUAGA
ensembl:lncRNA